rnacentral:rRNA from 1 species
UACGAAGGGGGCUAGCGUUGCUCGGAUUUACUGGGCGUAAAGCGCGUGUAGGCGGGCGACUAAGUCGGAUGUGAAAUCCCUGGGCUCAACCUAGGAACUGCAUUCGAAACUGGUCACCUAGAGUGAUGGAGAGGAAAGCGGAAUUCCCGGUGUAGAGGUGAAAUUCGUAGAUAUCGGGAGGAACACCAGUGGCGAAGGCGGCUUUCUGGACAUUUACUGACGCUGAGACGCGAAAGCGUGGGGAGCAAACAGG